UGCAUGUCUGCUUACUCUCUUUAAUUGAACACCGGUAGAUGAUUGCUAGAUUGGUAGGCUUUAAUGGAUAAACAGAAAUUUCUUUAUUGUAAUUAUUGUGCUGAUGAUGACACUUCUCUGAUUUUGGGGUGGUUAUAAUGAUUCAGGUUGAUUAUAGCAAUCACAAUUUACUGGCUAUUGCAGCUGGUAUUAAGCAGAAACAUAGUGUUGAUGAUAUUGUGCAAAAGUUUCUUCCAGAAAACUUUACGAUUAUACUAUUCCAUUAUGAUGGGAAUGUUAAAGGGUGGUGAGAUCUUGAGUGGAGUAACCAGGCCAUACACAUAGUUGCCCACAACCAAACAAAGUGGGUGGAGGGGAACUCUUGGUUAUGCUGCACCAGAAGUUUGCCUGCGGUGUCCUAUAACCCACAAGUGUGAUGUGUACAGCUUUGGAAUGCUAUUAUUUGAGAUCAUAGGUAGAAGAAGGAACCUAGACCUGAAUCUGCCGGAGAGUCAAGACUGGUUUCCGAUGUGGGGAUGGAAGAAGUUUGAAGCUGGUGAACUAGAAGAACUAAUGGUAGUAUGUGGUAUAGAUGAAAAAGAUAAAGAGGCAGCAGAGAGAAUGGUAAAAGUAGCUAUAUGGUGUGUUCAGUAUAGCUCCGAGUUGAGGCCUUUGAUGAGUGUAGUGGUGAAAAUGCUGGAAGGAGCACUUGAAAUUCCUAAGCCUUCAAUUAACCCAAUUGAGUACUUGAUGCCAGGUGGAUCCUCUAAUUGAAAUAAAAGAAAGAACACUACUAGAAGUUCCUGGAUAUGAGAACCCUGUUGAAUUUGGUGUUAUGACUUUAUUUGCAUAUCCUGUGGAAGAAGAUUUAGGUGAGAUAGUUGUAGCAACUACCCGAAUAGAGACGAUGCUCGGUGAUACUGCUAUCGCAGUGCAUCCUGAUGACGAAAGAUAUAAGCAUCUUCACGGUAAACAUGCAAUCCAUCCAUUUAAUGGAAGAAGGAUUCCUAUAAUAAGUGAUGAAAUUCUUGUUGAUCCAGAGUUUGGGACUGGUGCUGUCAAGAUUACCCCUGCCCAUGAUCCUAAUGACUUUAUGGUUGGGAAGCGCCAUAAUCUUGAGUUUAUCAACAUCUUUACUGAUGAUGGAAAAAUAAACCAGUAUGGGGGAGCAUUUGACAGGGAUGCCACGCUUCAGAGCCCGAGAGGCUGUGACUGAUGCAUUAAAGAAGAAGGGCCUCUUCAAAGAAACUAAGACCAAUGAGAUGUGUCUUAGAAUUUGCUCUAGAAGUAAAGAUGUUGUGGAGCCUAUGAUAAAGCCCCAGCGGUACAUUAAAUGCAGCGAUAUGGGAAAUGAAGCUCUCAAUGCUGUCGCUGAUGAUGAAAAUAGGAAGCUGGAGAUUAUCCCAAGACAGUAUACUGCUGAAUGGAAGAGGUGCUCAUUUUUUCCUUAUUGUGCUGUAUGAAAUUUCUAGUUUAUAUGCAUUGCCAAGAACGUAAAGGAUUUGAACCAGUUUACAGUGACUUUAGUUGUAAUCCUAGUAUCUAGAGGUCUCUACAAUCUUUAUCUGUUUUCCUUGUUAAACCACCUAUUCAGCAACUGUCAGUUAGCUUCUAUCUUCGGCUUUUCUUGUGACUAGUGCAUCAAGUUUUACCAUGAGAAAGGAGGAAUUGCAGAGGUAUUUAGGGUUUUUUUUCGUGCACCUUGUGUGUCCAAUUUUUAUAUUGCAUUAAGUUUGUUCUUGUUCUAACUUCAGUUGUUAUUCUUUAUUUGAGUGCCUUUUUUGUUUUAGGGGAUAUUUACUCAAAAAAUGGAAAUGUGAACAUGUUUACUUGUUUACUUGUUUUGCUCUCUGUAAUCACAGAUGGCUUUGUAACAUUAGUGAUUGGUGUGUCUCGAGGCAACUUUGGUGGAGUCACCGUGUUCUGGCACGGUAUGUUGUUUUUUAGGGUGAUAACAACGAAGAAUUUGGAAAAAAAUUUGAGCGAUGGGUGGUUGCAGGAAGUGAGGAAGAGGCUCAAGCAUUGGCUGAUCAAAAAUAUGAGGGAAAGAAGUUUCGAUUAGAACAGGACUCAGAUGUGCUUGACAGGUGGUUUUCGUCUGGUCUUUUCCCAUUGUCGGUAUUGGGCUGGCCGAAUGAUCCAGAAGAUUAAGAACUUUUUAUCCAAAUUUAGUUGUUGAAACUGGGCACGACAUUCUCUUUUUCUGUGUUGCUCGUAUGGUGAUGCUUGGAAAUAUAUUGGGCGGUAAUGUUCCCUUUACUAAGAUGAUUGCCCCUCAACCACAGAAGUAGUCCCACACUAGCCCCCUUAUUCAAAGACUUUUUCACCGUGAAUUUUGUUUUUUGGCAAAGCAUGUGAAGAUGUUUGGGGAUUCAUUUGAAUGUACUAACUGCAGUUAGAACAAAGUUUUCUUUUUAGCCCUAAUUCAACUUUCUUUUGCUGAGUUCAUUUUUUGGAUGUAUGUAUAGCUGCAGUAACAGAUUAAUCAAAUAUUGGU